CCUACGGGUGGCACCAGUGAGGAAUAUUGGUCAAUGGACGAGAGUCUGAACCAGCCAAGCCGCGUGAAGGAUGACUGCCCUAUGGGUUGCAAACUUCUUUUAUAAAGGAAUAAAACGAGGCACGCGUGCCUUUUUGCAUGUACCUUAUGAAAAAGCAUCGGCUAACUCCGUGCCAGCAGCCGCGGUAAUACGGAGGAUCCGAGCGUUAUCCGGAUUUAUUGGGUUUAAAGGGAGCGUAGAUGGGUUGUUAAGUCAGUUGUGAAAGUUUGCGGCUCAACCGUAGAAUUGCAAUUGAUACUGGCAGUCUUGAGUACAGUUGAGGUAGGCGGAAUGCGUGGUGUAGCGGUGAAAUGCUUAGAUAUCACGAAGAACCCCGAUUGCGAAGGCAGCUUACUAAACUGUGACUGACAUUGAGGCUCGAAAGUGUGGGGAUCAAACAGGAUUAGAUACCCGUGUAGUC
rnacentral:rRNA from 1 species